UACGUAGGGCGCAAGCGUUGUCCGGAAUUAUUGGGCGUAAAGAGCUCGUAGGCGGUCUGACGCGUCGGAUGUGAAAGCCCGGGGCUUAACCCCGGGUCUGCAUUCGAUACGGGCAGACUAGAGUGUGGUAGGGGAGAUCGGAAUUCCUGGUGUAGCGGUGAAAUGCGCAGAUAUCAGGAGGAACACCGGUGGCGAAGGCGGAUCUCUGGGCCAUUACUGACGCUGAGGAGCGAAAGCGUGGGGAGCGAACAGG
rnacentral:rRNA from 1 species